AUUGAACGCUGGCGGCAGGCCUAACACAUGCAAGUCGAGCGGAUGAAGGGAGCUUGCUCCUGGAUUCAGCGGCGGACGGGUGAGUAAUGCCUAGGAAUCUGCCUGGUAGUGGGGGAUAACGUCCGGAAACGGGCGCUAAUACCGCAUACGUCCUGAGGGAGAAAGUGGGGGAUCUUCGGACCUCACGCUAUCAGAUGAGCCUAGGUCGGAUUAGCUAGUUGGUGGGGUAAAGGCCUACCAAGGCGACGAUCCGUAACUGGUCUGAGAGGAUGAUCAGUCACACUGGAACUGAGACACGGUCCAGACUCCUACGGGAGGCAGCAGUGGGGAAUAUUGGACAAUGGGCGAAAGCCUGAUCCAGCCAUGCCGCGUGUGUGAGGAAGGUCUUCGGAUUGUAAAGCACUUUAAGUUGGAAGGAAGGGCAGUAAGUUAAUACCUUGCUGUUUUGACGUUACCAACAGAAUAAGCACCGGCUAACUUCGUG
rnacentral:rRNA from 1 species